rnacentral:misc_RNA from 1 species
UUUCCGUAGGUGAACCUGCGGAAGGAUCAUUAAUGAGUUGUCAUGGGGUUCGAUGCUGGCAGCCAAUUUUUGGAUGCAUGUGCUUGCCCUAACAAUCAUCUUCCAAACACCUGUGCACAUUUUUGAGGGAGUCUUGAGUUGGUUGCCGCUCUUGGGUGAUUUUCUCACAUUCCCUUAAAUCAUUAUACGCUAUUAACAAUGUUGAACGUGCUCUGUGCCGCAAGGCUAUUAAUAUAAUACAACUUUUAACAACGGAUCUCUUGGCUCUCGCAUCGAUGAAGAACGCAAC